rnacentral:pre_miRNA from 1 species
AUUGAAGUAUAAGUAUGUCCCAUACAACAUUUGGGACAUAACUUAUACUAAAA